rnacentral:rRNA from 1 species
UACGGAAGGUGCAAGCGUUGUUCGGAAUGACUGGGCGUAAAGCGCACGUAGGCGGGUUCGUAAGUCGGAUGUGAAAUCCCCAGGCUCAACCUGGGAACAGCACUCGAUACUGCGAAUCUUGAAUGCUUAAGAGGUUGGUAGAAUUCCUGGUGUAGGAGUGAAAUCCGUAGAUAUCAGGAGGAAUAUCGGAGGCGAAGGCGGCCAAACUGGUGAUGCAUUGACGCUGAGGUGCGAAAGCGUGGGGAGCAAACAGG